rnacentral:rRNA from 1 species
GACGAACGCUGGCGGCGUGCUUAACACAUGCAAGUCGAACGGAAAGGCCCUGCUUUUGUGGGGUGCUCGAGUGGCGAACGGGUGAGUAACACGUGAGUAACCUGCCCUUGACUUUGGGAUAACUUCAGGAAACUGGGGCUAAUACCGGAUAGGAUCUCCUGCUGCAUGGUGGGGGUUGGAAAGUUUCGGCGGUUGGGGAUGGACUCGCGGCUUAUCAGCUUGUUGGUGGGGUAGUGGCUUACCAAGGCUUUGACGGGUAGCCGGCCUGAGAGGGUGACCGGCCACAUUGGGACUGAGAUACGGCCCAGACUCCUACGGGAGGCAGAAGUGGGGAAUAUUGCACAAUGGGAGGAAGCAUGAUGCAGCAACGCCGCGUGCGGGAUGACGGCCUUCGGGUUGUAAACCGCUUUCGCAUGUGACGAAGCGUGAGUGACGGUAAUGGGUAAAGAAGCACCGGCUAACUACGUG